rnacentral:rRNA from 1 species
GAGCGAAGUCUUCGGACUUAGCGGCAGACGGGUGCGUAACAUGUGGGAAUCUACCCUUUGGCCUGGAAUAACACGAGGAAACUUGUGCUAAUACCGGAUAAGUCCUUACGGAGAAAGUUUUAAUGCCAAAAGAUGAGCCCGCAUUUGAUUAGCUAGUUGGUAAGGUAAAAGCUCACCAAGGCAACGAUCAAUAGCUGUUCUUAGAGGAAGACCAGCCACAUUGGGACUGAGACACGGUCCAGACUCC